GACGAACGCUGGCGGCGUGCCUAACACAUGCAAGUCGAACGGAAAGGCCCUGAUCUUGUGGCGUGGUCGAGUGCCGAAGGGGGGAGUAACACGCGAGUAACCCGUACUUGACUGUGGGGGAUCAUCAGGAAAAAGGGGAGAAAACCGGGUAGAAUCUCUUGCUGCGUGUGGGGGGUUGGAAAGAUUCGGCGGUGCGGGAUGGACUAGCGGCUUAUCCGCUUCUUGGGGGGGUAGGGGUUUACCAGGGCUUUGAAGGGUAGGCGGCCUGAGAGCGUGACCGGCCACAUUGGGCCUGAGAUACGGACCAGACUCCUACGGUAGGCAACAGUGGGGAAUAUGGCGCAAUGGGGCGGAGCCAGAUGCAGAGACCCCGCGUGCGGGAUGACGGCCUUCGGGUUAUAAACCGCUUUCGACUGUGACGAAGCGUUAGUGACGGUAACGGGUAAAGAAGCACCGGCUAACUACGUG
rnacentral:rRNA from 1 species